GACGAACGCUGGCGGCGUGCUUAACACAUGCCAGUCGAACGGAAAGGCCCUGCUUUUGUGGGGUGCUCGAGUGGCGAACGGGUGAGUAACACGUGAGUAACCUGCCCUUGACUUUGGGAUAACUUCAGGAAACUGGGGCUAAUACCGGAUAGGAGCUCCUGCUGCAUGGUGGGGGUUGGAAAGUUUCGGCGGUUGGGGAUGGACUCGCGGCUUAUCAGCUUGUUGGUGGGGUAGUGGCUUACCAAGGCUUUGACGGGUAGCCGGCCUGAGAGGGUGACCGGCCACAUUGGGACUGAGAUACGGCCCAGACUCCUACGGGAGGCAGCAGUGGGGAAUAUUGCACAAUGGGCGGAAGCCUGAUGCAGCAACGCCGCGUGCGGGAUGACGGCCUUCGGGUUGUAACCCGCUUUCGCCUGUGACGAAGCGUGAGUGACGGUAAUGGGUAAAGAAGCACCGGCUAACUACGUG
rnacentral:rRNA from 1 species